rnacentral:rRNA from 1 species
AGAGUUUGAUCAUGGCUCAGAUUGAACGCUGGCGGCAGGCCUAACACAUGCAAGUCGAGCGGUAGAGAGAAGCUUGCUUCUCUUGAGAGCGGCGGACGGGUGAGUAAUGCCUAGGAAUCUGCCUGGUAGUGGGGGAUAACGUCCGGAAACGGACGCUAAUACCGCAUACGUCCUACGGGGGAAAGCAGGGGACCUUCGGGCCUUGCGCUAUCAGAUGAGCCUAGGUCGGAUUAGCUAGUUGGUGGGGUAAUGGCUCACCAAGGCGACGAUCCGUAACUGGUCUGAGAGGAUGAUCAGUCACACUGGAACUGAGACACGGUCCAGACUCCUACGGGAGGCAGCAGUGGGGAAUAUUGGACAAUGGGCGAAAGCCUGAUCCAGCCAUGCCGCGUGUGUGAAGAAGGUCUUCGGAUUGUAAAGCACUUUAAGUUGGGAGGAAGGGCAGUAAAUUAAUACCUUGCUGUUUUGACGUUACCGACAGAAUAAGCACCGGCUAACUCUGUGCCAGCAGCCGCGGUAAUACAGAGGGUGCAAGCGUUAAUCGGAAUUACUGGGCGUAAAGCGCGCGUAGGUGGUUCGUUAAGUUGGAUGUGAAAUCCCCGGGCUCAACCUGGGAACUGCAUUCAAAACUGACGAGCUAGAGUAUGGUAGAGGGUGGUGGAAUUUCCUGUGUAGCGGUGAAAUGCGUAGAUAUAGGAAGGAACACCAGUGGCGAAGGCGACCACCUGGACUGAUACUGACACUGAGGUGCGAAAGCGUGGGGAGCAAACAGGAUUAGAUACCCUGGUAGU